GACGAACGCUGGCGGCGUGCUUAACACAUGCAAGUCGAACGGAAAGGCCCUGCUUGCAGGGUACUCGAGUGGCGAACGGGUGAGUAACACGUGGGUGAUCUGCCCUACACUUCGGGAUAAGCCUGGGAAACUGGGUCUAAUACCGGAUAUGACCUUCCAUGUAGUGUGGGGGGUGGAAAGAUUUAUCGGUGUGGGAUGAGCCCGCGGCCUAUCAGCUUGUUGGUGGGGUAAUGGCCUACCAAGGCGUCGACGGGUAGCCGGCCUGAGAGGGUGGACGGCCACAUUGGGACUGAGAUACGGCCCAGACUCCUACGGGAGGCAGCAGUGGGGAAUAUUGCACAAUGGGCGGAAGCCUGAUGCAGCGACGCCGCGUGGGGGAUGACGGCCUUCGGGUUGUAAACCUCUUUCGACAGGGACGAAGCUUCGGUGACGGUACCUGUAUAAGAAGCACCGGCUAACUACGUG
rnacentral:rRNA from 1 species